rnacentral:rRNA from 1 species
GAUGAACGCUGGCGGCGUGCUUAACACAUGCAAGUCGAACGGAAAGGCUCCUGCUUGCAGGGGUACUCGAGUGGCGAACGGGUGAGUAACACGUGGGUGAUCUGCCCUGCACUUCGGGAUAAGCCUGGGAAACUGGGUCUAAUACCGGAUAGGACGAUGGUUUGGAUGCCAUUGUGGAAAGUUUUUCGGUGUGGGAUGAGCUCGCGGCCUAUCAGCUUGUUGGUGGGGUAAUGGCCUACCAAGGCGUCGACGGGUAGCCGGCCUGAGAGGGGGUACGGCCACAUUGGGCCUGAGAUACGGCCCAGACUCCUACGGGAGGCAGGAGGGGGGAAUAUGACACAAUGGGGGCAAGCCUGAUGCGGCGACGCCGCGUGGGGGAUGACGGCCUUCGGGUUGUAAACCCCUUUCGCAAGGGACGAAGCGUUUUGUGCGGGAACCGGGGAAAAAGGCCCCGGUAACCUACGG